AACGAACGCUGGCGGCAUGCCUAACACAUGCAAGUCGAACGAGACCUUCGGGUCUAGUGGCGCACGGGUGCGUAACGCGUGGGAACCUGCCCUUAGGUUCGGAAUAACUCCCCGAAAGGGGUGUUAAUACCGGAUAAUGUCUUCGGACCAAAGAUUUAUCGCCUUUGGAUGGGCCCGCGUUGGAUUAGCUAGUUGGUAGGGUAAAAGCCUACCAAGGCGACGAUCCAUAGCUGGUCUGAGAGGAUGAUCAGCCACACUGGGACUGAGACACGGCCCAGACUCCUACGGGAGGCAGCAGUGGGGAAUAUUGGACAAUGGGCGAAAGCCUGAUCCAGCAAUGCCGCGUGAGUGAUGAAGGCCUUAGGGUUGUAAAGCUCUUUUACCCGGGAUGAUAAGGACAGUACCGGGAGAAUAAGCUCCGGCUAACUCCGU
rnacentral:rRNA from 1 species